GUCCUGGAUUGUGAGAGGGAUGUCCGACUGCCUGUUUAGGCCCGAUCCCACUGGGAUCGGGCCUAAACAGGCAGUCGGACAUCCCUCAAGGGG
rnacentral:pre_miRNA from 1 species